CUGCAAUCAUCCGGUAUCUGCUGAUGCUGCCUUUGUUGCUUUGCUGGAUUUGCCUCACCCAGAACCUUCAAAGUCACACACUACUCCACUCCAGGCCACAAGCCCAACAGAUGGUGCCACUCACAAUCAAGGUAAACCUUUCCCAGAAGACUUUAUCCUGUCUCAUUGGCCAAGGUAAAAUCCCAUGCUCAUAUCUAAAUUAAACGUUGGUAAAGGAGAUGAAAUCAACAUGGUUUUCUUAGGUAGAUCAACAUGCAGUUCUUGGAGCUGGAGAAUGAAUCAACUUCCUCGAACACAUGAGGAAAAGAUAGCAGUGUGUAAUGCGGAAUGGCUGAAGAAGAGAUAUUUAGCACUGUCUUCCAAUGCUUUUAUAAGAAGUAUUUUUAUAAAUCAAGGAGGAGAAAUCUGCCCAGCAUUCACAGUGUGCUUGAGAAACCCUAUAAAAUAAAAUAAUUUGCCCAUUUCAUAGCCGAAGAAACUGAGCCUCAAAAGGUUCCACUGAUUGGCAGUUGUGAAACAGCUAAUGCAUGAAUCUAGGAUUUAUAUCUUCACUUUCAUAGGCAUAAUCAUGCUUAAAGCAAAAGGUGAGAAAAAAGAAAAAAGAAGAAAGAAAGAAAGAAAAAAGGAAAAAUUUGCACUGGAUUGAUCAGACCCUUCUAUGAGCAUGGCAGAGGAGAAGCUGCUCAUGUCCUGGCAGCUGGGAGGCAGAGUGAAGAGAGGAGGUAGAGAAGAAGAAAACCCUCACAGGCCAGCCCCUCGGUGAUCCACUUCUUCUGACCAGAUUCCACGUCCUAACAGGAAGUUGGCUGCAUUUGUGCUGUGUGGGAAAGAUGGCAAUGGUCAUUUGUCACCUGAUGUGGAGUUUGUGAAUGGAAGCAAAAUUUUGCCAAACACUUUUGUUUGCAAAAGACACAGAUAGACCAUUAUCUGGGACUUGCAAAUAAGAAUGUUAAAGAUGCUAUGGCUAAUCACAACUGAGACCUCAAUGA
rnacentral:lncRNA from 1 species